rnacentral:lncRNA from 1 species
CAGGAAUUUAUUUCUCACAGCUUCUGAAGUCUGGGAAGUCCAAGCUCAAGGUGAAGCCUCCUCAGGUGGCAAAGAGCAGAAGCACAAAAGAGACCAAACUCCCUCCCUCAAGCUCUUUUACAAGAACACUGAGACAUUCACAAGUGCUGAGUCCUCAAACCUACUAACCUCCUGAAGGCUACACCUCAAAUACGGAUUGAAUUUUCGCAUGAGUUUUGAGGGACACCCAUUCAAAGCAUAGCACCCUUCGGCUUCAGAGAAGCUCCAGCCCUGUUGUCACCAAGCAGGUUCCCCCUAGGCAGAGCGCCAAGAAGCAGCCCAGGCGAUCCCAAGGCGCACAAGUGCUCUCACCAGGCUGCGCGCUGGCGGGUCGGUGCACAGGGACGGGGUCGCCGCCCACGCGCGCUUGGUUCAGGGAGCCCAGGCUGUCCCUACCCGCGGCUACAAAAGCUCGCCGAGUCUUCCUGUCCACCCAAUCGCCCCACAUGUCAGCGGUUGGUCGCCUCGCGGUGCAGUGCUGGGCACGCGAGCCCCUCCCGCAGUCAUUCUCAGCACAAGCACCAGCCUGGAGCCCCGCAGCGACAGAGCUGAGAGCCCCCAAGCCGCAGAGGUCGUGCGGAGCAGGUUGCAAAUGUCUUAGAAACACACUCCUGGACCACAGCUUCAAGAGACGCAAGCAGUCACCUCAUCUGCUGGUUUCCAAGCUGCCCUGCCAGAAGCAGGUCAGGGGUCCCACAGUGGUCCUCAGUAACUCCUCAAAAUCCUCUCCCAUCAAUGGCCCCACCAGAUCAUCCCUACUUUUGAAUGCUUGUCCAAUGCAGGUUCCAGGUAACAUUUCCUUUCACAAGUGACUUCCAUGGCU